AGGCAGAAGGAAGGCAGUUAGGCUGUUAGGAAGGCAGUUAGGCUGCAGUGAAUUCUACAAAGAGGCUAUGGGAAAGAAACCUGGAAAGUACCCUUGGCUGUGUACAUUUGAGUAAAGAGAGCACUAUAAAAUCAAAAACCAAUGAAAUGGUUUCCAGAACACAGAACUAUUAAGCUUAAGAAAAGGACAGAAGGAACUGAAGAGAGAGGAACUGUUUUGGAGCAUCACACUUCCACCUCAGAAGAAAUAAGGAAGGAAGGAGGAGGGUGUUCCCACGGCUCUUCAACCAGGCCGGCUCUUCAGCCUACAUCCCCAUCUCAUCAAGUAAAAGGGAUUUUUCAACUGGACCAACCAGAUGGUUUAACAGUGCACUCCCACACCAUUCAACUACGCAAGGGAGAUACACUUAACAUAUGCAGUCGUAUAACACCUACUAACAUUUUCAAACAUUAAACCUUUAAAAAAGAGUUCUAAAGAAAUAGAAGCUUGAAGUAUCAUCUCUCAAGUAUAUAGACACUACUUCAUGGUGUGGUAAUAUAUGCAUAUAGAAGCUAGUAAACACCUCCAGGAGAUGCAAAAGGAAUUAGAACUGCCACAAGGUGCAAGCAAAACCUUGAGUCUCCAUUGAUGGUGAAGUAUUUUCACUAUUUGGCAUGUCUUCUCUAGUACCUAGAGCAGUGCGUUGCAUGCAGUAGCAGGUUUAUAAACAUUUGCGAGUAAAACAUCCAACCUGAUACUCAAGUUCUGUUUUUCCUCUUCUAAUCCUUCACCCAUCUGAGCUAAAGUCUAGACCUAAGGAGGCUACUAAUUCAGGGAUCGAGUAAUCUGCCAAGCAAGAGUUUAUUCAAGCACAGUUUGAAAUAAAGGUUUCAAAUGCAUAGCCUGUCGAUACUUUGGAAGGAUUCUCAUCAUAACGAGUAUGCAAUUUGCUAUAAAGAAGAAUGCCCAUUACGGACUAAAUGUUUAUGUCCUCCUAAAAUUCAUAUGUUGAAGGCCUAACUCUCAAUGUGAUGAUUAUGUGGAGAUGGUGCCUUUGGGAGGUAACUGGGCUUAGAUGUGGGCGUGAGGGUGGGGCCUCAUGGUGAAAUUUGUGCCCUUGUAAGAAAAACACACCACAGGUUUUCAUUCUUCCUCUGCCACAUGAGGCCACAGUAAGAAUGUGACCAUCUGCUAGCCAGGAGGAAAGUCCUCACUGGAACCCGCCCAUAAUAACACUCCAGUCUGGGGCUUUUCAGCCUCCAGAACCAUGAGAAAUAAAUUUCUAGUGUUUAAGUCA
rnacentral:lncRNA from 10 species